rnacentral:misc_RNA from 2 species
CCGAGUUUACAAACUCCCAACCCUAUGUGAACCUUACCUAUCGUUGCUUCGGCGGGCUUAGCCCCCGCGCCUUCGCCGGCGCCGGGAAACAGGCGCCCGCCGGAGACCCAAACUCAAUGUUUUUCAUGCAGUAUUAUCUGAGUGGCAAACGCAAAAAUAAAUCA